rnacentral:rRNA from 1 species
UACAGAGGGUGCAAGCGUUGUUCGGAAUUAUUGGGCGUAAAGCGCGUGUAGGCGGCUUUGCAAGUCGGGUGUGAAAGCCCUCAGCUCAACUGAGGAAGUGCGCCCGAAACUGCAGAGCUUGAGUGCCGGAGAGGGUGGCGGAAUUCCCCAAGUAGAGGUGAAAUUCGUAGAUAUGGGGAGGAACACCGGUGGGCGAAGGCG